GAGAUGAGCUCCAGCAGCCGCAGGAGGUGGAUGCCGUCAGCCAGCUCUGUGUACAGGUUCCGGAUCUUGAUGCCCGCCUGGGGAGGGGACAGGGACCCUCAGCCCAUGGAGUCCUGUGUGAUGUUGUGAGCGUGGGAGGACAGACUGAACUGCUCGGCCCGUGGAGUCCUGUGUGAUGUUGUGAGCGGGGAGGACAGACUGAACUGCGUGGUGCUUCGCACAUAGACCUCAACAGGGAUUGGCAUUUUGAAGCUGUUGGCGGGGGCUGUGGACUGCUUUUCUUCCUUUCUAGCUCAACGGCAGCUAAAGCCACUGCAUACAAUGCAAGGACUGGCUCCUGUUUGGCCACGACUGAUUGCAGCCCCUGGUGAAAUGAGAACCCUGUGGGUCGGAACAAAGUUUGGAUUAUUUAUGUUGCAAAGACAGGGUCUUCUUAGGUUGCCCAGGCUGGUCUUGAACUCCUGGCCUCAACGAUCUUCCCACUUCAGCCUCCUGCAUUGCUGGGAUUAUAGGUGUGAGCCACCAUGCCUGGCUUACACAGUAUAAAGGGAAUGCAUUGGCCCACACAGUGGAAAAAAAUAUCUAGUAGGAAUAGGAAGGACUUCAGGUGAGGUUUGAUCCAGCAGCUCAAAUGUUGUCACCACAGGCCUGGAUUCCUCUGGCCUUUCUCAAGGUCUCUUUCAUUUUCAUGCUCCACAAGAUGGCUUCUGCCAGGCUGACCUCCCUCCCCUGACCCCAGCAGCUCUGGACACCCCUCUCAGUGCCAUUUAUAUUGUUGCAUCAAUAGGCUCAUUUCUAUAUACUGCAAGGUUCAGAGAAGACAGAGUAUCUCUCUCAAGAGUUCUAACAUAAGUCUGGGGGUCCUGGCUCUCAUAGGCUUGAACAGGGCCACAUGUCCAUUCCUGAGCCAAUAUUUGUGACCAAGGGGAUGUGGUCAAUCUCAUCCAAACCUCACUUGAAGUGAGGGUGGGAGGAGGAGUGCUCUGCAAGGAGACUGUAGGUCUGGACCACCAAAAAGGUAGAUGGGUUGGUGGGAAAAGCCAGAUGCCUACUAUGGUAGUGGGCGGGGGGAGGGCACACUGGCAAGGUACAGCAAGAGGCAGGGGCAGUGCUGGACAGGCAGGGGCUCCUCCCUAGCACGACUGGAGAAAGGACUCCUGUGAAGCGGUCACCUCCAUGAGUCCCUCCUGUCCUGGCUUCCAACCACUCUGAAGUGGGGCUUUUGUCCACAGACCUGGCCUCUGCUGCCUACCCUCUUCUGUCCCCACCUGAUGGGGCCGCUUUCCUUCUGAAGCGGCUGCAUUUUGGGUUUCUCUCCACAGGAAGAGUUGGGGCUCACAGGCACACCCUCUCCCUAACUCUUCUCCCCCGGUUCAACCUGGAUCCAGGGAUCCACACUCUGCUCCGAGAGGCCAGCACGCAGCCACUGGAAAAUGAGCCAGUGGGAGAGGGCAGCUCCAUGUUUAUUGAUCAGCAGACUAUGUCUUUUUGUUUGAAACUUCUAAAUAAGAUUACAAAAAGAAAAAAAAUAGAAGCAUUGCGUAUUAACUGCAUUGGUUAACCAACAUUGGAACCCAAUACUCUUGUAUUAGGCCCGCAUUUACCUGAGUAAACUCAGUGGUUUUCUGUCCUAAGCAUGCUUGCCUGCUACAUCCCAUGGAGAAAAUAAACAGUGAAACACUUUCCUCAUCUUCAAGGCAAUUGUCUCAGGCAUCCUCCAGGCAUCAUGAAGGAGGGUGAGCGAGGGUGCGAGGUGGAAAGGUCCAGGCCGCGGCUGUGACUCCCGCGGGUGAACCACAGCUCCACAGCCCCAAAUCCAAAGAUGCUCUUGCUGCAGCACGACAAGUGUUCAAAAGAGAACCAGGCCCAGCCCGGAGAAAGGAAAGCCAAAAGCCAACUGAAUGAAUGACCCUCCCCCAGAAGAGCAACCCUGCCCCCAGGCCAUCCAAGUGCGGUGAGUUGAGAAAUGAAUUGACAGACGCUGCAGGGCUGGAGCAGGAGGCGGAAGCAGGUUGGAAGGCUGUUGUGUGCCACCCCUCCCUGGGAGCUGGGGAGAUUCCCAAGU
rnacentral:lncRNA from 1 species